CUGGCAACGCUCUGCUUUGUCUGGCUGAUCGGUAAAGCUGGGCUUGUGAUAGUGUCCACCUUGGCAUCUCUCAUUAGAACACUCAGCAGUUUGAAAAAUGCCAUUUAGCAGCAGGCAAAACAACUGAACAGACGCACCUGUUAGAAUUCCCAAGAACGAUCGACAGCAAUGGGCAGGACGGCGUGAAUUAAUGAAGUGACGACCUUGUGCCCAGUAGCACCCGGGGAAGACACUGCAGCAGUCAGGCUUCCAAAUGUUAUUUCUCGUUUGUUUUUACAUGAGCCGGAUUUCAAGCGUGGCCCUGAACAACACAGAGUUGCGAAACCUAAGAAGAGAUAUAUUGGAAGCAUCACGUCCAGUGGAGAAGCAGCUGGGAAACUGGGAGGCCUUAUCUGCUCCAAGCACCUUACAAUGACAAAUUGCAACUGUGUCUGAAAUGCUAUGCAGAGAUGAGUGAUGUGUCUUCAAAUUGUAAAUUCUAUACACCAUAGAUGGCAAGAUUUAAAUCCUGGGCUUAUGUUAUAAGAGAAGAUGAAUUUGAUUGGUUCCAUUGUAAUUUUAUUUGUCUGCAUUGCAAAACAACAACAUGAUUAGCACUUUCCAUUCAAGAGAGUCUAAGAAGUGAAAAGUCAGGAGUGGCUGCGAAUCAGGAUUGCGGUGCAUCCUCCGGACUGCGUGCAUUCUGGGCAGGAAUGAUGUGCUCAGGACCAAGGUGCAGCAGCAGAGCAGACCUAAAACUGGAACAACCAAGGGUGCUGCAGAUCAGGAAUGAGGUUUAUCAGCAGAGCUGCGUGGGAUGCCUAGAACUGGAAUAGCAGAGGGUGCUACAUAUCAUGUCUAAUGGGGACUGGCAGAGCAAGGGAAAGAGAUAAAAACUGACACAGGAACGGCUUUCAGUAUGUCUGGAACAAGCUAAUUCUAUUAGACCCUUUCUUGUAUUACUAAUUAAAUCCCCCUACAUAACACACCUUUUUUAAAAAAAAUAAAAAGGCCACACUCCCAGAAUGGUCCAGAUGAGUGUUAGAGAGCCUGGCUCAUGUGCUUUCUGCACUCCAUGCCAGUGGCAUAAGGGGCAAGGAGCCAUUGCCAAUCCCAUCAGAACCAAUUCUCGUUGUGGGGGAAAGAAAUGAGAAUGAAUCCAGAUGGCCCAUCCCAAUUUCUCCCAGUGAACACAGGGUCUGAAAAGAAACCCCCAAGAGUCUUUUCCCCAAAUUCAGCUAGAGGAACGCACGCAACACCUUCUGCCAACACACAAGAGCCAUCUUUAGAAAAGCACCAAUUAGCAUUGCACAGUGUCAGCAGCCAGCUUCCUGGCAGUUGGCACCGCUGUUUUUCAGUGCCUCCAAUGCUGUCUGUGAGUCUGCGUGGCUGGAUUCCUGAGGCUUAGCACCUCGAUUCCUGAAAUGAGCCCCAGUGCUAAUUCCCGAUUUUAGGAAAACAACAUUCCUCCCGUCGAAUGAAAACACUCGUACACAGUUCAUAAACCAUCUUCCUGGGGGGGAGGAUGGCAAGCUCACGGCAGCCUAGCAUAGACGUAUAUUGUUUGUGGCCCUCUGACGUUGCCCGCGGUGGGAGCCAGCUGCUGUUUGGUUAAGUGCUCUGUUUAAAGAUUCAAAUCCCCUUCUGGAUAGAGCUGUGAUCAAUACACUAUGUGAAUGCUAAU